AUUGAACGCUGGCGGCAGGCCUAACACAUGCAAGUCGAGCGGAUGAAGGGAGCUUGCUCCUGGAUUCAGCGGCGGACGGGUGAGUAAUGCCUAGGAAUCUGCCUGGUAGUGGGGGAUAACGUCCGGAAACGGGCGCUAAUACCGCAUACGUCCUGAGGGAGAAAGUGGGGGAUCUUCGGACCUCACGCUAUCAGAUGAGCCUAGGUCGGAUUAGCUAGUUGGUGGGGUAAAGGCCUACCAAGGCGACGAUCCGUAACUGGUCUGAGAGGAUGAUCAGUCACACUGGAACUGAGAAACGGUCCAGACUCCUACGGGAGGCAGCAGUGGGGAAUAUUGGACAAUGGGCGAAAGCCUGAUCCAGCCAUGCCGCGUGGGUGAAGAAGGUCUUCGGAUUGUAAAGCACUUUAAGUUGGGAGGAAGGGCAGUAAGUUAAUACCUUGCUGUUUUGACGUUACCAACAGAAUAAGCACCGGCUAACUUCGU
rnacentral:rRNA from 1 species